rnacentral:rRNA from 1 species
GAUGAACGCUGGCGGCGUGCCUAAUACAUGCAAGUCGAGCGAACAGACGAGGAGCUUGCUCCUCUGACGUUAGCGGCGGACGGGUGAGUAACACGUGGAUAACCUACCUAUAAGACUGGGAUAACUUCGGGAAACCGGAGCUAAUACCGGAUAAUAUAUUGAACCGCAUGGUUCAAUAGUGAAAUACGGUUUUGCUGUCACUUAUAGAUGGAUCCGCGCCGCAUUAGCUAGUUGGUAAGGUAACGGCUUACCAAGGCGACGAUGCGUAGCCGACCUGAGAGGGUGAUCGGCCACACUGGAACUGAGACACGGUCCAGACUCCUACGGGAGGCAGCAGUAGGGAAUCUUCCGCAAUGGGCGAAAGCUUGACGGAGCAACGCCGCGUGAGUGAUGAAGGUCUUCGGAUCGUAAAACUCUGUUAUUAGGGAAGAACAAAUGUGUAAGUAACUAUGCACGUCUUGACGGUACCUAAUCAGAAAGCCACGGCUAACUACGUG